GAUGAACGCUAGCGGCAGGCUUAAUACAUGCAAGUCGUGGGGCAGCGCGGGUAGCAAUACCUGGCGGCGACCGGCAAACGGGUGCGGAACACGUACGCAACCUUCCUUUAAGCGGGGAAUAGCCCAGGGAAACUUGGAUUAAUACCCCAUAGUACGAUUGAGUGGCAUCACUUGAUUGUUAAAGCUCCGGCACUUAAAGAUGGGCGUGCGGCUGAUUAGGUAGUUGGCGGGGUAAUAGCCCACCAAGCCGACGAUCAGUAACUGGUGUGA
rnacentral:rRNA from 1 species